GACGAACGCUGGCGGCGUGCUUAACACAUGCAAGUCGAACGGAAAGGCCCUGCUUGCAGGGUACUCGAGUGGCGAACGGGUGAGUAACACGUGGGUGAUCUGCCCUGCACUUCGGGAUAAGCCUGGUAAACUGGGUCUAAUACCGGAUAGGAGCCAUUUUUAGCGUGAUGGUUGGAAAGUUUUUUCGGUGUUGGAUGAGCUCGCGGCCUAUCAGCUUGUUGGUGGGGUAAUGGCCUACCAAGGCGGCGACGGGUAGCCGGCCUGGGGGGGUGGACGGCCACAUUGGGACUGAGAUACGGCCCAGACGCCGACGGGAGGCAGCAGUGGGGAAUAUUGCACAAUGGGCGCAAGCCUGAUGCAGCGACGCCGCGUGGGGGAUGACGGCCUUCGGGUUGGAAACACCUUUCGCUAGGGACGAAGCUUUUUGUGACGGUACCUAGAUAAGAAGCACCGGCUAACUACGUG
rnacentral:rRNA from 1 species